rnacentral:tRNA from 1 species
AGGGGAAUAGCUCAGUGGUAGAGUGCUUGCCUGGCAUGCACAGGGUGCUGGGUUCAACCCCCACUGCUUCCA